AAACCACAUAGCAAGGGAGCCCUUUUGCGUGGCUGGGACUUUCUCCACUGGAACCACAUUUCAGUAGAGAAUCAGAGUUGGAGACCUCCACUGAGUAGGCAUUUGAUGCCAAUUCUUGCACUAGGAUCCUAUGAUUUAAAAAAAGAAUUGACCUGUCAUCUGUGUAAUAUCUGCAGUGGCCAUUAAAAUGCUAAAUCAUCUGAGAAUGUACUACGUAUACAGUUCCUGAAAACGUAUGAAAAGCACUGUGUGCGGUCUCAGAGUUCUGUGUGCCCAGCUGUCGAGAAGGCUUUGAAAACCAGCAUAGAGAAUGAGCAGAUUCUCAGGAAGCUGAUGCUCGUAAGCCCUGCCGUCUCCCCAACAGGCUUCCCAGAAGUUUCUCUUGAACCUUUGCUCAAGACAAUUUGAGAUGAGCGUUACAUGCUGGGAAGAGAACUUUGCAUCUGAGGGAUGAAGCUGAAAAAUUCAGA